UAUGGUUCCUUGGAUCGUACAUACUACAUGGAUAACUGUAGUAAUUCUAGAGCUAAUACAUGCCACUAUGCCCUGACCCGAAAGGGAACGGGUGGAUUUAUUAGAACAGAACCAACCGGUUGUGACUCACGUCGUAGCCGUUGUACUCUGUGAUGACUCUGGAUAACUUUACUGAUCGCAGUCGGCCUUGUGUCGGCGACGGAUCCUUCAAAUGUCUGCCCUAUCAAUUGUCGAUGGUAGGUGAUCUGCCUACCAUGGUGAUAACGGGUAACGGGGAAUCAGGGUUCGAUUCCGGAGAGGGAGCCUGAGAAACGGCUACCACUUCUAAGGAAGGCAGCAGGCACGCAAAUUACCCAAUCCCGGUACGGGGAGGUAGUGACGAUAAAUACGGAUACGGGACUCAACAGAGGCUCCGUAAUUCGAAUGAGUACAAUUUAAAUCCUUUAACGAGGACCAACUGGAGGGCAAGUCUGGUGCCAGCAGCCGCGGUAACUCCAGCUCCAGAAGCGUAUAUUAAAGUUGUUGCAGUUAAAAAGCUCGUAGUUGGAUCUGGGUCGCAUGGCUACGUGCCGUUGCCUGUAUUCUGGAUUUGGUUACGACUGGAUCUGGUUUAUGGGUCGGUGCAGUGGUUGUGCAGCCUUUCUGCCGUGUCUGUUUAACAGGUGCUGGUGGAUUGAUGGGCUUGCUCAUUAGUCUGUUAGCAUGCUUUCGAAUGCCUUUAAACGGGUGUUGGGAGCGGACGGCACGUUUACUUUGAACAAAUUUGAGUGCUCAAAGCAGGCCCUUGUGCCUGAAAAGUCUUGCAUGGAAUAAUGGAAUAGGACUUCGGUUCUAUUUUGUUGGUUU
rnacentral:rRNA from 1 species